CGGGGGUGAAAUCCAUUCUCUCAUUAAUCCAAAAAUGAUCAGAAGAAGCCUCCACAUCACUGACAAACACUGAUCUCUCAGUGGACCCGCUGAUCUCGUUCUACAGUUGAGCGGCAAGUGUCAAUGAGGAUCAAUGCCUUCUAUCUCAUUCACCAGUUCUAGCCCAAGUAGUCAAUGAGGACCAAGAUCUUCCCAGUGAAAUAGCAGUUCUCUUGUUAAAUAAGAAGCAACAGAAAAGACCCCCAAGUCAUGGUCAUUGUGGGAUUUCUCAGGGGACCCCCUGAUCUCCUUCAUCAGUCAAGCACCAAGUGUGAAUUAGGACCGAUAUCCUUUCUAAGUAUGAAUCACACCACAGUCCCUCUGUUUUCGUCAGCUUUAUUUACCUUUUUAAAUCUAAACUUGUCCUGGGAAUUUUCAUCAAUGUUUUUACCAGUGGCGUGCUCCCUCAGGUGUAGCCAGAAUUUGUUUGCGGCCUGGAGAGCAUGGAGGAAAUCCAGUCUCACAUUAAUCCGGAAAUGAUCAGGAAAAGCCUCCACGUCACUGACAGCCACAGAUCUCUCAGUGGACCCGCUGAUCUCGUUCUACAGUUGAGCGUCAAGUGUCAAUGAGGAUCAGUGUCUUCUAUCUCAUUCACCAGUUCUAGUCCAAGUAGUCAAUGAGGACCAAGAUCUUCCGUAAGUAUGGUUAUAUCCACGUAAGCCUGUUCUCUUUAGCUUGACUCACCUUUUAAAGUCCAGCCUUGUCCUGGUAAGUUUUCAUCAGUGUUUUUCCCAGUGUCUAAUUCCUUCAG